rnacentral:tRNA from 1 species
AGAUAGCUCAAUGGUAGAGCGUCUUGUUAUCAACGAGAGGGUUGAGAGUUCGACCCUUUUUUUAGUGA